rnacentral:rRNA from 1 species
AUUGAACGCUGGCGGCAUGCCUUACACAUGCAAGUCGAACGGUAACAGGUCUUCGGAUGCCGACGAGUGGCGAACGGGUGAGUAAUGCAUCGGAACGUGCCUAGUAGUGGGGGAUAACUACUCGAAAGAGUGGCUAAUACCGCAUGAGAUCUACGGAUGAAAGCAGGGGAUCGCAAGACCUUGUGCUACUAGAGCGGCCGAUGGCAGAUUAGGUAGUUGGUGGGAUAUAAGCUUACCAAGCCGACGAUCUGUAGCUGGUCUGAGAGGACGAUCAGCCACACUGGGACUGAGACACGGCCCAGACUCCUACGGGAGGCAGCAGUGGGGAAUUUUGGACAAUGGGCGAAAGCCUGAUCCAGCAAUGCCGCGUGCAGGAUGAAGGCCUUCGGGUUGUAAACUGCUUUUGUACGGAACGAAAAGCCCCGGGUUAAUACCCUGGGGUCAUGACGGUACCGUAAGAAUAAGCACCGGCUAACUACGUGCCAGCCGCCGCCGUAA